rnacentral:rRNA from 1 species
CCUACGGGAGGCAGCAGUGGGGAAUCUUGCACAAUGGAGGAAACUCUGAUGCAGCGAUGCCGCGUGAGUGAAGAAGGCCCUUGGGUUGUAAGGCUCUUUCGUCGGGGAAGAAAAUGACUGUACCCGAAUAAGAAGGUCCGGCUAACUUCGUGCCAGCAGCCGCGGUAAUACGAAGGGACCUAGCGUAGUUCGGAAUUACUGGGCUUAAAGAGUUCGUAGGUGGUUGAAAAAGUUGGUGGUGAAAUCCCAGAGCUUAACUCUGGAACUGCCAUCAAAACUUUUCAGCUAGAGUAUGAUAGAGGAAAGCAGAAUUUCUAGUGUAGAGGUGAAAUUCGUAGAUAUUAGAAAGAAUACCAAUUGCGAAGGCAGCUUUCUGGAUCAUUACUGACACUGAGGAACGAAAGCAUGGGUAGCGAAGAGGAUUAGAUACCCUCGUAGUCCAUGCCGUAAACGAUGUGUGUUAGACGUUGGAAAUUUAUUUUCAGUGUCGCAGCGAAAGCGAUAAACACACCGCCUGGGGAGUACGACCGCAAGGUUAAAACUCAAAUGAAUUGACGGA